ACGUAAACAAGGAAGUCACUUAUACACCGCGAAUGUUUUUAUACAGUCUAUGAAUGAGCCGAGUGCUCCGGUUUAUGUCUGUUUUUCAUUUGUGUUGUCUACUCGCGAGUGAAGUUUGUAUUUAUAGCAUAGACUGUAUAAAAACAGAUUUAUACACGUAAUCAAGCACUUAUAGUAUCCUAACCGUUUCCAGGAUCAAGAACUCCGAUUUGUUAUUGUGUAUUUAAAACGCACUUGGAUUUCGUUAUAAGGCACCCUCAUUUCUUUUUUCAUAUAAAAUUACACCUGUUUGACCUGUUAACAAAAGAAAGUUCACUUUAAUGUCUUUAGAUGAACAGUAUAUUGUUUGACACUGCAAAGAUUUGGUUUAUCAUCAAUGUCAUGCUUAUAAAUGGCUCAUUGAUUUAAUCCAUUCUGGAAGCAGUAUGACCUUUAUUGACCUUUAUUAUCUUUAUUAUCCUGUGGUGUUAACCUUACAGAUCUCCAGUCUGUUUUGCAUGGUAAUAUGUUGUAUGUAAGAUAUACAGUAGCUCAAAUGUAUAUCUAGUAUUUAUUGAUAAUUUGGUUGUAGGAAGAAGGAAACUUAAAUUGUUGUAUUUUUGAUUGAAGUUGUGUUUUUAAAUCAGCAGGGAUCUGAUAUAAUGUCAUCACCUGUGGAUGUUAUCGUGGUUGGAGCUUGUAACAGAGGAGAAAACUAUUCUUACAAUGCUGUGAUUUUUUCUGACCACAUGGAGGUAUGACUACUGUUUUAAUAUCACUUCAACAGUCAGCAGUUCUGCUGUUUCACCACCACAUGAAUAGGGAAUUGCUGACCCUAGGGAUUUUGAUCGAAUGGAUUUUCAGGCACGUCACAAAGUACCUAAUAAAAACGCUUUCAGUGGUACAUUAUGUCAAUCUUUUUGUUACAGUAAGAUUAUUGUAACAGUUUUAUAUUUUAUUAAUUUUUUACGUAGAUUGGCAUCGCGUAGCUGUAGCAGAUAGAGAAAUUUGCUGAUGCUGUAUUGAUCUGCACUCCUGAUCGUCUUCAUAAGGACCCUUGCUGUGGCUUUAGCUAAGAAAGACUACCAUGUACUGCUGGAAAAACCAAUGACUGUAAUGAACAUGGAAUUUGGAAUUUUUACAGAGGAAAUAUGUUUACGCAAAACAUAAGAUUUCAAAGAUUUCAGCUCUUUGAUGACUGUAAAGGGGUUUAACAUCUAUUUGCUCAUUUUCUCACAAGGGGGAACUGUCCUACAAAGGAUAUGAGGUCAAAGUGUUCCACAGAUGAAUAAUAAAAAUUGAUUUGUGUAUGGAUUAACUGACUCUCACCAUGAAUGUAGCCCUAGAUGCUGGAAUGACAAAGAAAGUAAAUAAAUAAAUCAUCUUUUGUUUUAUUCAGAUAAAUUACAUUUCUUGUGUUUAACUUAAAUAUAUGUACCCAUGUAAUAAAAUGAAUUUUGUGGAAUUAUUAAUUAUCUCAAUAAAAAUCAUCAUCAUA